CAGCCGCCGCGGUAAUUCGGAGGGUGCGAGCGUUAAUCGGAAUUACUGGGCGUAAAGCGUGCGUAGGCGGUUCGUUAAGUCAGAUGUGAAAGCCCCGGGCUUAACCUGGGAACUGCAUUUGAAACUGGCGAACUAGAGUUUAAUAGAGGGGAGUGGAAUUUCAGGUGUAGCGGUGAAAUGCGUAGAUAUCUGAAGGAACACCAGUGGCGAAGGCGACUCCCUGGAUUAAAACUGACGCUGAGGUACGAAAGCGUGGGUAGCAAACAGGAUUAGAUACCCUGGUAGUCCACGCCGUAAACGAUGUCAACUAGCCGUUGGUCCUAUUUACAGGAUUAGUGGCGCAGCUAACGCAUUAAGUUGACCGCCUGGGGAGUACGGCCGCAAGGUUAAAACUCAAAGGAAUUGACGG
rnacentral:rRNA from 1 species